CAUGUCCUUUUGAUUAUAAUUUAAGGUUUGAUCUGCUCAAUGAAAGGUUAAAUUGCCGCAGUAUUUUAACUGUGCAAAGGUAGCAUAAUAAUUAGUUUUUUUAUUGAAAGCUUGAAUGAAUGAUUGGACGAGAAAAUUGCUGUCUCUUUUUAAUUUUUAUUGAAGUUAAUUUUUAAGUUAAAAAGCUUAAAUAUUAUUUAUAGACGAGAAGACCCUAUAGAGUUUUAUUUUUCCUUGAUUUGUUAUUAUUUAGUAAUUUUUAUUAUAAUUUUUGGUUGAAUUUAAUUGGGGUGAUUAAAAAAUUUGGUAAACUUUUUUAAAUAUUUAUUACUUAUGGGUGAAUUUUGAAUCUAGUUUUUCUAAGCUUAAUAUAAAUUACCUUAGGGAUAACAGCGUUAUUUUUUUUUGAAGUUCUUAUUUAAAAAAAGGAUUGCGACCUCGAUGUUGGAUUAAAAUUUACUUUUGGUGCAGAAGCUUUAAGGUUAAGUCUGUUCGACUUUUAAAAUUUUACAUGAUCUGAGU
rnacentral:rRNA from 1 species